rnacentral:rRNA from 1 species
AGUGAACGCUGGCGGUAGGCCUAACACAUGCAAGUCGAACGGCAGCACAGUAAGAGCUUGCUCUUACGGGUGGCGAGUGGCGGACGGGUGAGGAAUACAUCGGAAUCUACUUUUUCGUGGGGGAUAACGUAGGGAAACUUACGCUAAUACCGCAUACGACCUACGGGUGAAAGCAGGGGAUCUUCGGACCUUGCGCGAUCGAAUGAGCCGAUGUCGGAUUAGCUAGUUGGCGGGGUAAAGGCCCACCAAGGCGACGAUCCGUAGCUGGUCUGAGAGGAUGAUCAGCCACACUGGAACUGAGACACGGUCCAGACUCCUACGGGAGGCAGCAGUGGGGAAUAUUGGACAAUGGGCGCAAGCCUGAUCCAGCCAUACCGCGUGGGUGAAGAAGGCCUUCGGGUUGUAAAGCCCUUUUGUUGGGAAAGAAAAGCAGCAGGUUAAUACCCCGCUGUUCUGACGGUACCCAAAGAAUAAGCACCGGCCAACUUCGUG